UCCCUGGUGGCUCACAGGGUAAAAUAUCUGCUUGCAAUGCAGGAGACCUGGGUUCAAUCCCUGGUUUGGGAA
rnacentral:tRNA from 1 species